UACGUAGGGGGCAAGCGUUUGUCCGGAAUCAUUGGGCGUAAAGCGCGUGUAGGCGGUCCGGUAAGUCCGCUGUGAAAGUCGGGGGCUCAACCCUCGGAUGCCGGUGGAUACUGUCGGGCUUGAGUACGGAAGAGGCGAGUGGAAUUCCUGGUGUAGCGGUGAAAUGCGCAGAUAUCAGGAGGAACACCAAUGGCGAAGGCAGCUCGCUGGAACGGUAACUGACGCUGAGGCGCGAAAGCGUGGGGAGCAAACAGG
rnacentral:rRNA from 1 species